rnacentral:rRNA from 1 species
GAUGAACGCUGGCGGCGUGCCUAAUACAUGCAAGUCGAGCGAACGGACGAGAAGCUUGCUUCUCUGAUGUUAGCGGCGGACGGGUGAGUAACACGUGGAUAACCUACCUAUAAGACUGGGAUAACUUCGGGAAACCGGAGCUAAUACCGGAUAAUAUUUUGAACCGCAUGGUUCAAAAGUGAAAGACGGUCUUGCUGUCACUCAUAGAUGGAUCCGCGCUGCAUUAGCUAGUUGGUAAGGUAACGGCUUACCAAGGCAACGAUGCAUAGCCGACCUGAGAGGGUGAUCGGCCACACUGGAACUGAGACACGGUCCAGACUCCUACGGGAGGCAGCAGUAGGGAAUCUUCCGCAAUGGGCGAAAGCCUGACGGAGCAACGCCGCGUGAGUGAUGAAGGUCUUCGGAUCGUAAAACUCUGUUAUUAGGGAAGAACAUAUGUGUAAGUAACUGUGCACAUCUUGGCGGUACCUAAUCAGAAAGCCACGGCUAACUACGUG